GAUGAAGAACGUAGCGAAAUGCGAUAAGUAAUGUGAAUUGCAGAAUUCAGUGAAUCAUCGAAUCUUUGAACGCACAUUGCGCCCUCUGGUAUUCCGGGGGGCAUGCCUGUUCGAGCGUCAUUACAACCCUCAAGCUCUGCUUGGUAUUAGGCUUCACCCUUAGGGGCGGGCUUUAAAAUCAGUGGCGGUGCCAUUUGGCUUCAAGCGUAGUAAUUCUUCUCGCUUUGGAGGACUAGUGAGCGCCUGCCAGCAACCCCAAUUUUUUUCAGGUUGACCUCGGAUCAGGUAGGGAUACCCGCUGAACUUAAGCAUAUCAAUAAGCGGAGGA
rnacentral:misc_RNA from 1 species